rnacentral:pre_miRNA from 1 species
UAUUAAAAUUUUUAUUUAUUUAUACUGUUAAAGAUGGACGUGGCUGGCAAAAUAAUCAAACUGUUACAAAUAACGUGUUAUGUGUAUCUCAUACUAACGUAUAAUGACCAAUUUUUAAUUGUCAAAAUCAAUGAAAUUUUAAACA